rnacentral:rRNA from 1 species
GACGAACGCUGGCGGCGUGCUUAACACAUGCAAGUCGUACGGUAAGGCCCUUUCGGGGGUACACGAGUGGCGAACGGGUGAGUAACACGUGAGUAACCUGCCCACAACUUUGGGAUAACGCUAGGAAACUGGUGCUAAUACUGGAUAUGUGCUCCUGCUGCAUGGUGGGGGUUGGAAAGCUCCGGCGGUUGUGGAUGGACUCGCGGCCUAUCAGCUUGUUGGUGGGGUAGUGGCCUACCAAGGCGGCGACGGGUAGCCGGCCUGAGAGGGUGACCGGCCACAUUGGGACUGAGAGACGGCCCAGACUCCUACGGGAGGCAGCAGUGGGGAAGAUUGCACAAUGGGCGCAAGCCUGAUGCAGCAACGCCGCGUGCGGGAUGACGGCCUUCGGGUUGUAAACCGCUUUCAGCAGGGACGAAGCUUUUUGUGGCGGUACCUGCAGAAGAAGCACCGGCUAACUACGUG